rnacentral:rRNA from 1 species
GUGAGGAAUAUUGGACAAUGGGCGCAAGCCUGAUCCAGCCAUGCCGCGUGCAGGAAGACGCAUCUAUGGUGUGUAAACUGCUUUUGUACGGGAAGAAACACUCCCUCGUGAGGGAGCUUGACGGUACCGUAAGAAUAAGGAUCGGCUAACUCCGUGCCAGCAGCCGCGGUAAUACGGAGGAUCCAAGCGUUAUCCGGAAUCAUUGGGUUUAAAGGGUCCGUAGGCGGUUUAAUAAGUCAGUGGUGAAAACCCAUCGCUCAACGAUGGAACGGCCAUUGAUACUGUUAGACUUGAAUUACAAGGAAGUAACUAGAAUAUGUAGUGUAGCGGUGAAAUGCUUAGAUAUUACAUGGAAUACCAAUUGCGAAGGCAGGUUACUACUUGUGGAUUGACGCUGAUGGACGAAAGCGUGGGGAGCGAACAGGAUUAGAUACCCCUGUAGUCC